AGGUAAACAAAACCGCUGCCUCACUUCGCGUUCGAGUGUCAAUAAGUCCCCUAUCAAAACCUGCAUUUCGUGUAAAUCGUAAUGGCAGGGAACCCAAAACUGCAGCCUCAUCCUGAGACCAUAAACAACGUAGAUAAAGGAAUCAAUUGCGACAUCUGAAACUAACCCGCCAAGACCAGCAGAUCAAGUAAACAAAAACAAACAAAACACAAAGGGCAAGAGCGCCGCCCCCAAAACGUACAGCUUCCACGAUAUAUCUCCUGAUGGUCUUGAGUCUCGCGAGUCCGUUCGCCUGCCUCACCAUCUGGUCACAAACGGCCUCGCCACAGAUAUCCACGGUGCUGAAGUGUCGGGCCUCGUGCUGGAUCGCUUCCUGCAAUACGCCCAGAGUUGGUGGCAAGGCGGUCAGUGCGGGCGUGUAGAUGGGGACGCCCACGUUCGCCUCCGCCCGUACCGCUGGGAGGAAGGGGACGAUCGCCGCUGCUAGAAAGGCCACACCCAGCAACAUCUGGAGGAGGAACGUGAUGGAAGUUAGCUGACGGAGAAAUCGAACUGGAAAG